CAGAGAGAUUCAACGCGAUGGGUUGCGGUGAGAAUGCCACUGUGGCAGUCUUCAAGGAUUCCGUCUACAGUUGAAAAAUUGAUGCUCAUUAUCAAAUAACACCGUUUUUUUAUUAGGAGCUUUAAUCCUGCCUCUUUGCAGGAAUGGAAAUGAUUCGUUCCUACAAGAAUCAGCCAUCGGAGAAUCCGCAAAGAACAUUUCAAACUGAGGUAAUUCUUCCCAGGACAGGUACAUAGGACUGGUUUCCCGGGCACAGAUUAAGCCUAGUCCUGGAAUAUCAUUUUCAACUGAGAUUCUACCAUUUAUCUCUGGCUUUUUUUGGUCCACGACUAGGUUUAAUCUGUGUGUGAAACCGCAUCUUAAAGCAUAAAGGCUUGAACAUGCAAAUAGCCAUAUAUUGAAAUGUCUUGUUGAUAAAACAAAAGGCUGUACUGUAUGCAUUCAUUAUUCAACAGCAACGAGACAUACUGUAACACAUUCCUUUGCUUCUUGUUUUUUUCCCUCAGUGUUUUUGUUUGCAUAACACCCGCAUAGAUCCACUGGCUUAUCCUCCUGACUAUCACUAUGCCUUGAGUUCAUUUAGCCGUCAUUUAUCGUUUCCAGCGAAGAACAGUAAACAUAAAUACCUCCCUUCCUGCCUGAAAUGUAAUAAAAUAUAAAUUUGU